rnacentral:tRNA from 1 species
GACCGCGUAGCUCAGUUAGCAGAGCAUUGGGCUAGUAUUCCAAAGGUCGUAGGUUUGAUUCCCACCGUGGCCG